GGUCCUGCCUGCCCUGUGAUAUAUAUUUAACGGCCGCGGUAUUUUGACCGUGCAAAGGUAGCGCAAUCACUUGUCCUUUAAAUGAAGACCUGUAUGAAUGGCAUGACGAGGGCUUAACUGUCUCCUUUUUCCAAUCAAUGAAAUUGAUCUUCCCGUGCAGAAGCGGGAAUACAACCAUAAGACGAGAAGACCCUAUGGAGCUUUAAACAAAAAUAGAUCUUGUUAAACAUAUCUUAAUUAAAGAAGUGAACCGAAAGAAUCCUAUCAUUNAUGUUUUUGGUUGGGGCGACCGCGGGGAAACAAACAACCCCCAUGUGGACUAAGAAAACAUUUCUCACAAUAAAGAGCCACAGCUCUAAUUAACAGAAUUUCUGACCUANUAGAUCCGGCAAUGCCGAUCAACGGACCGAGUUACCCUAGGGAUAACAGCGCAAUCCUCUUUAAGAGUUCAUAUCGACAAGAGGGUUUACGACCUCGAUGUUGGAUCAGGACACCCUAAUGGUGCAGCAGCUAUUAAGGG
rnacentral:rRNA from 1 species